UGUUGUCUCCACUAUCACCUUCUCCUUCCCACCAGCAAGUCCACUGCUCCUCCCCUUCUCUUCCUCCGCUACUUGUUUCCCCUCCACCUUCUCUCCGUCUCUCUUUAAUAGAAGGCCUUUGCCCCUUCCUCGCCCGAUUUCAAUAGCAUCAAAUCCACCUCGAAAGCGCAAAUUCCUGAGCUGAUCUAUGAAAAAACCCGUGGUGUCUUGAAGAUUUUUCCAGAGAAUGUCAUCCGUGAUGCUGCAAGUAACUUUGCAAGCCAAAAGAGACGUUAAACAGAGCACAUUCAGGAACAAUGUUCUUAUACAAGCCAUGAGCCUACCAAUACAGAUGAGUUGACCCAAGGUUCUUCCAAGCGCUCGAGACAGCUCACAUCAUUGAUAUAGAAGGAAUUUGAUAUAUUGUACAUUGAACCGGAUGGUUCACAAAGAGCACAAUGCAAAUGGUAGUUUGCAUCUUUAGUUGCUAAAUUUACUAACCUUCAUAUUUAGGUAAGCUAUAUAUUUCAUAAUUUUCUGGUCUUCUUACUCUAGUGUUGAUAAUUUUGGCCAAGAUUAUGCGUUUGUUUGACAAUGAUUUGUCUUAAACAACUGGCCCAAGUCAGCUCUUCCUUUUUUAUUUUUUAGGAUCCUU